AUGGCUCAGGAUGAACGCUGGCGGCGUGCCUAAUACAUGCAAGUCGAGCGAAUGACGAGGAGCUUGCUCCUCUGAUUUAGCGGCGGACGGGUGAGUAACACGUGGGUAAUCUGCCUGUAAGACGGGGAUAACUUCCGGGAAACCGGGGCUAAUACCGGAUAAUAAGAGAAGAAGCAUUUCUUCUUUUUGAAAGUCGGUUUCGGCUGACACUUACAGAUGAGCCCGCGGCGCAUUAGCUAGUUGGUGAGGUAACGGCUCACCAAGGCGACGAUGCGUAGCCGACCUGAGAGGGUGAUCGGCCACACUGGGACUGAGACACGGCCCAGACUCCUACGGGAGGCAGCAGUAGGGAAUCUUCGGCAAUGGGCGAAAGCCUGACCGAGCAACGCCGCGUGAGCGAUGAAGGCCUUCGGGUCGUAAAGCUCUGUUGUUAGAGAAGAACAAGUACGAGAGUAACUGCUCG
rnacentral:rRNA from 1 species